GUGUCGGAUAGGGGAGAAGCCGGGCCAGCGCGCCCGGUGCCGAAGGAGCAACCGCCCCGGUAAACUCUCAGGCGCAAGGGACCCGUCCGACGC
rnacentral:ncRNA from 2 species